ensembl:lncRNA
CACUAAGAUUGAUCUUUUUUCCCUUCGAAAUUGUUAGAAGUCUAACAUUUUCUUCAAGUCAUUUUAGUAAUUCUUCUUAAAAGCCAUUUCCAGAUCCAGUUUCAAAGGCACUUAGAAGUCACCCCUUUGGAUUCAACUUGCAACUUAUUUUUUUAAAUAAAAACAUUAUUACCCAGCUUAAUCACCUUCUUAGUCUACGGACUUGCUUUCAAUGGACUUUUGAUUAUUUUUCAGAAAUAGAACUUUAUUUUUAUGUGCUGAAGUUCUCUUAUUUUUGAAGAUAAUCAAAACAAUAGACUGCUGUCCCUGAAGGCUUGAACAGAAGAGCUGGAAACUCUUUCAAGAAACUGUUGCAGCUUUAUUGAAGCUUCCAGCUUCCAAGAAGGGCCUGCUGCUGCUGCUGCUGCUGCUGCUAAGUCGCUUCAUUCGUGUCCGACUCUGUGCGACCCCAUAGACGGCAGCCAACCAGGCUCCCGCCGUCCCUGGGAUUCUCCAGGUGUUGAUCCCUAGUAAACAUCUUAAAUCCCAAACUCCAUCUCAGCAUCUGCUAUUGAUGAACCCAACACCUAAUACAGUCCCUUGAACACC